GGGUGACUGGGACGCUGUUAGCGGUGGGGGCCGCGCUCCCCCUUGCCCUCGGAGCGGCAGCGCAUGCGCACAGGAAAUAGUGACUCGGGAGCCCCGGGCGAGAAGAUGAAGCGAGUAUUUACUCUAUUAGAAAAGGCUUUGCUUGGUUCCCCUGUGCAGUUCACCUGGCAGAAAACUUCAGGAAACUUCCUUGCUGUGACAGGAACUGAUCACACUGUAAAAAUCUUUGAUCGUCAUGGUCAGAAGAGAAAUGAAAUUAAUUUACCAAGCAACUGUGUUACUAUGGACUGGGAUAAAGAUGGGGACACCUUAGCCAUAAUUGCUGACAAAUCUAGUACCGUUUAUCUGUGGGAUGCCAACACAAACAAAACAAGCCAGGUGGACAGUGGCAUGAGAGACCCAAUGUCUUUCUUGCUUUGGUCCAAAGUUGGAGCCUUGCUUGCUGUUGGAACAACUAAGGGAAACUUGCUUAUUUAUAACCGACAGACUUCUCGCAAGAUUCCUGUCCUUGGUAAACACACCAAGCGGAUCACUUGUGGUUGCUGGAGUACUGAAAACCUGCUGGCACUAGGUAGUGAAGACAAAAUGAUAACUAUUAGCAAUCAGGAAGGAGAUACUAUAAGACAGACCUCAGUGAGAUCGGAUCCCAGUGAUAUGCAGUUCUCAGUGAUGAAGACUGAUGAAAGAAUAUCAGCUAGGGAAAGCACAGUAAGCGUGGUGGUUGGCAAGAAAACAUUGUUUCUUUUUAAUUUGAAUGAUCCUGAUAACCCAAUUGAUCUAGAAUUCCAGCAGCGCUAUGGCAACAUUGUAACCUAUAGAUGGUAUGGUGAUGGCUACAUCAUGAUUGGCUUCUCACGUGGGUGCUUUGUUGUUAUUUCUACACACAUUCGUGAGAUUGGUCAAGAGAUUUUUCAAGCUCGCAAUCAUAAGGAUAACCUAACCAGCAUUGCAAUAUCACAAUCACUAAACAAAGCUGCAUCAUGUGGAGACAACUGCAUUAAGAUUCAUGACCUGUCAGAACUGAAAGAAAUGUAUGCUAUAAUAAACCUGGAUGAUGAAAAUAAAGGUCUAGAUCACCUGGCUUGGACAGAUGAUGGACAGUUGUUGGCAGUGUCUACACAAAGAGGCUCACUUCACGUCUUCUUGACAAAGCUUCCAAUCCUUGGAGAUGCUUGCGGCACACGGAUUGCGUACCUCACUUCUCUUCUUGAAGUUACUGUGGCCAAUCAUGUUGAAGGAGAGCUACCAAUCACAGUUUCUGUUGAAGUGGAGCCAAACUUUGUUGCUGUAGGUCUUUAUCAUUUGGCUGUAGGAAUGAAUAAUCGUGCUUGGUUUUAUGUACUUGGAGAGAAUAGUGUAAAAAAGCUUAAAGACAUGGAGUAUCUGGGGACAGUAACCAGUAUAUGUCUUAAUUCUGACUAUGCUGCUGCACUCUUUGAGGGUAAAGUCCAGUUGCAUAUGAUAGAAGGUGAAGGUUUGGAUGCUCUGGAAGAACGAGAGACUCGACUUUUCCCAGCGGUGGAUGAUAAAUGUCGAAUCUUGUGCCAUGCUCUUACUGGUGAUUUCCUCAUCUAUGGUACAGAUACAGGUGUUAUUCACUAUUUCUACAUUGAAGACUGGCAAUACGUGAAUGAAUAUCGGCAUCCUGUCAGUGUGAGAAAAAUCUUUCCAGACCCCAAUGGAACCAGAUUGGUUUUCAUUGAUGACAAAAGUGAUGGCUUUGUGUAUUACCCAGUAAAUGAUGGUGUUCAUGAGAUCCCAAAUUUUCCACCAACCAUUAAAGGCAUUCUGUGGGAAAAUUGGCCAAUAGAUAAAGGUGUAUUUGCUGCUUACGAUGAUGAUAAAAUAUAUACUUAUGUCUUCCAUAAGGAUACCAUACAAGGGUCCAAGGUUAUUUUGGCAGGUGGCACAAAAGUUCCCUUUUCCCACAAACCAUUGCUUUUGUAUAAUGGAGAAUUAACCUGUCAGACUCAGAGUGGGAAAACAAACAAUAUCUAUCUUAGUACUCAUAGUUUCCUUGGCAUUUUGAAAGACACCGGGUUUAAUGAGCUGAAACAAAUACUUACUCAGACUUUAAUGCUGAAAAGGUUUUCUGAAGCAUGGGAGGUAUGCAAACUUCUGAAUGAUCAAUCUGGUUGGAAUGAGCUGGCCAGAGCUUGCCUACAUCACAUGGAAUUGGAGUUUGCAGUACGUGUUUAUCGGACAAUUGGAAAUGUUGGGAUGGUGAUGUCACUAGAGCAAAUAAAGGGAAUAGAAGACCACAACCUUUUAGCCGGACAUCUUGCCAUGUUUACUAAUGACUUUAAUCUGGCUCAGGAUUUAUAUCUGGCAUCCACCUGUCCUGUUGCUGCACUUGAGAUGAGAAGAGAUUUGCAGCACUGGGACAGCGCACUACAGCUGGCUAAGCGUUUGGCUCCAGACCAGAUCCCGUUCAUAUCAAAGGAGUAUGCUAUGCAGCUUGAAUUCACGGGUGAUUAUGUGAAUGCUUUGGCACACUAUGAGAAGGGAAUCACAAGGGACAAUAAGGAACAUGAUGAAGCUUGCCUAGCUGGAGUGGCUCAGAUGUCCAUUCGAAUGGGAGACAUUCGUCGGGGGGUUAACCAAGCCAUUAAACAUCCUAGCAGGCUGCUAAAGAGAGACUGUGGAGCCAUUCUGGAGAGUAUGAAGCAAUUUUCAGAAGCCGCCCAACUAUAUGAAAAGGGGCAAUAUCAUGACAAAGCAGCAUCAGUAUAUAUCCGCUGUAAAAACUGGGCAAAGGUUGGUGAGCUUCUCCCUUGUGUAUCAUCUCCAAAGAUACACCUGCAGUAUGCCAAGGCAAAAGAAGCAGAUGGCAGAUACAAGGAAGCGGUUGUGGCUUAUGAGAAUGCCAAACAAUGGGACAAUGUAAUCCGGCUAUAUUUGGAUCAUCUUAACAAUCCUGAAAAAGCUGUUAGUGUUGUCAGGGAAACACAGUCUCUCGAUGGAGCCAAGAUGGUAGCCAGAUUCUUUCUGCAGUUGGGUGACUAUGGUUCUGCCAUCCAGUUUCUGGUCAUGUCCAAGUGUAAUAAUGAAGCUUUCACACUGGCCCAACAGCACAAUAAGAUGGAGAUUUAUGCUGACAUCAUUGGUUCUGAGAAUACUACCAAUGAAGACUAUCAGAGUAUUGCACUAUACUUUGAAGGAGAAAAAAAACAUUUUCAGGCGGGCAAGUUCUUUUUGCUGUGCGGUCAGUAUGCCCGGGCACUAAAACACUUUCUGAAAAGUCCAAGCACAGAAGAUAACAUGGCUAUAGAAAUGGCUAUUGAAACAGUGGGGCAGGCAAAAGAUGAAGCACUAACUAAUCAGCUGAUAGACUACCUUAUGGGGGAGAGUGAUGGUAUGCCCAAGGAUGCCAAGUAUCUGUUCCGCUUGUACAUGGCACUAAAGCAAUACAGAGAAGCUGCCCGAACUGCCAUAAUAAUUGCCAGGGAGGAGCAGUCUGCAGGAAACUACCGAAAUGCACAUGAUGUUCUUUUCAGUAUGUAUUCAGAACUCAAAACACAGAAAAUUAAAAUUCCUUCUGAGAUGGCUACAAAUCUUAUGAUUCUACACAGCUAUAUUUUAGUAAAGACUCAUGUUAAACGUGGAGAUCACAUGAAGGGUGCACGCAUGCUUAUUCGUGUAGCCAACAACAUCAGCAAGUUCCCCUCACAUAUUGUCCCAAUCCUGACGUCAACAGUGAUUGAGUGUCAUAGAGCAGGAUUAAAAAACUCAGCUUUCAGUUUUGCUGCUAUGUUGAUGAGACCUGAGUACCGCAAUAAAAUAGAUCUUAAAUACAAAAAGAAGAUUGAAGCAAUGGUCAGACGACCAGACACAUCUGAGGCAGAAGAGCCAACUACACCAUGCCCAUACUGUGAAUUCCUGCUCCCAGAGUGUGAACUCCUCUGUCCUGGAUGUAAAAACAAUCUUCCAUAUUGCAUUGCAACUGGUCGGCAUAUGGUAAAUGAUGACUGGACAGCCUGUCCAAAUUGUGACUUCCCUGCCCUGCACUCAGAGUUUAAAAAUAUGUUGCAGAGUGAAAAUAUAUGUCCAAUGUGUUCAGAAAGAGUUAGCAUGGUCCAUCUUAAGAAGAUAGCUGACUGCACACCAUACCUCAACCCAGAAGAAAUGGAACAGUGAAUUUAUUCAAAAGCACCACUGUAAUUUAGCACCGCUGUCAACUCUGGGCCUAUUCCUGGUCUCACACACAGAAGAGAGUGCACUACAUCAGAUAUACUGUCUGUACAUAUGUCUGUUUUUCUUGGCUCAAAACAAUUGGCUCGCUCCAAAAUCCUGCAGUCCUGGAAAUGAGCUCAACAAUGAGAGAGAAUUGUAGAACCCAACAAGCCAUUUUCACAAGCAUUUUUCAACACUACAAAAAUUGAAGUUUCUAGUGCAUAUUUUACAGAUUAGAAAUCUAUUGUCAAAAUAUUUCUUAAUUGGGUCUUGCCUUAGGUAAUUUAUAUCUGGAGGACCUUGAUACGUUAAUGUUACACACACAAAAUGCUGU